rnacentral:ncRNA from 2 species
GGCCUUCGCUAGGGGUGCGUGGCUGAUCAGACGAUCGGCACACGCUGAGAGAGUCCCUUUGAACCUGAACGAGGUCAUCCUCGCGUAGGGAAGCACAAGCCGAACCCA